UUACCUUCCAAAUUAUCUGUUACUUCUGUUCUUGUUGCAAAGAAAAAAUAAAAUUCAAUCAUGAAGAUUAUAUAUACAAUGAUAUUCGUAUUUGUCCUCUUGGUUGCGAUUGCAAGCGCAGUAGAACCAUCAGUGAAGAAACGCGAGGUUGAACCUGGUGUGUGAUGAUUCAUUUUCAUAACGUGGAGAUCAUCAUAGAAGAUCUACUGAAAAGUAGUAUGAUGUUACAUAAAUUGAUAAAUAAGAUGCAAAAAUCAAUCCAAUAAAAACAAUUUAAAAAUUAA